rnacentral:rRNA from 1 species
AGUGAACGCUGGCGGUAGGCCUAACACAUGCAAGUCGAACGGCAGCACAGGAGAGCUUGCUCUCUGGGUGGCGAGUGGCGGACGGGUGAGGAAUACAUCGGAAUCUACCUUUUCGUGGGGGAUAACGUAGGGAAACUUACGCUAAUACCGCAUACGACCUACGGGUGAAAGUGGGGGACCGCAAGGCCUCACGCGAUUAGAUGAGCCGAUGUCCGAUUAGCGAGUUGGCGGGGUAAUGGCCCACCAAGGCGACGAUCGGUAGCUGGUCUGAGAGGAGGAGCAGCCACAAUGGAACUGAGACACGGUCCAGACUCCUACGGGAGGCAGCAGUGGGGAAUAUUGGACAAUGGGCGCAAGCCUGAUCCAGCCAUACCGCGUGGGUGAAGAAGGCCUUCGGGUUGUAAAGCCCUUUUGUUGGGAAAGAAAUCCUGUCGAUUAAUACUCGGUGGGGAUGACGGUACCCAAAGAAUAAGCACCGGCUAACUUCGUGCCAGCAGCCGCCGUAACAC